GCAAAUAAAAAUAGCUCAUUUUGAUUGGUUUGUUAUCCCAAGUACAACGGGGAUCCCAAAGGGUCCUGGAGCAUAUUAUACAAACACACAGAGCUAACUUCACAAAAUUAUGCACUGCAGGAAGAUUAUCACCUUCUCAAAAGCACAUGGAAGAUGAAGAGAAGCAGAAUAUCUUGUACAGACAAAUUGGAUGUGUCAGUGAGUGCCUAGUUGACAUUUCAAUGGGAGGCUGGUGGUGUUCUUCGGGAUUAUUAUCCAGGAGUGCAGUUAUACCUUAGCUCCCAGAGGGGAACUUGCAUGGAAAUGCCGCUGUGAAUUGGAAGGGCCUUUGGAUCUCAGGAAAAGCCCUUGAAGGAGACUCUGCUGGAAACUGAAUGGAUGUCAGGAAAAUUUCUCUAGCCUGGAAUCUCUCUUCAGAUAUGGACUCUCCUCCCCCUUCAUUUCUGCUUUCCCUUCCUUCCCUCCCCCCUUCCUUCCCAACCCACAAGGCUUAAGAGCCACAACAUCCAGCUCUUACUGAAUGUUUAGUUCCAAACCUCUAAAGGAAGGAAUACUGACCUGAACGAAACAGAGAACAAAGUAACCUGAAAACAGAGAAUAUUUUCACAGGCUUGAGUUUUCAGUGCAAUAAAGCCAGAGCUGCCAGAAGGAGUCCCAGAAGUGGUUUUUCAGAAUAUUUUGCCUGCCUCUUUGCCUCUGGUACCUGGGAGUGAGCACAUGACCAUCCAUCUCUUCAGGGAUUCCAAGCAGAUGCUCUGUUGUUCAAGGACUAAAACUGCCUUAGAGGUUUGGAAAAUGAAAAACAUUAGAAAGAAGUGAAAGGAGGAAGAAAACUGAGGAAGAGUUAGGACAAAAGGUGUUUUAGGAAGCUGGGAACAGCACAUCACCAGCACUAAACUGAAGCAAGCAAGCAAAAAAAAAGAAACUAUGUGAAAGAACACCUCUUCCUUCCCCCAAAACUGAACCCUCUGCUUUCUUUUUUCAUAUGAA